rnacentral:rRNA from 1 species
GACGAACGCUGGCGGCGUGCCUAAUACAUGCAAGUAGAACGCUGAAGAGAGGAGCUUGCUCUUCUUGGAUGAGUUGCGAACGGGUGAGUAACGCGUAGGUAACCUGCCUUGUAGCGGGGGAUAACUAUUGGAAACGAUAGCUAAUACCGCAUAACAAUGGAUGACACAUGUCAUUUAUUUGAAAGGGGCAAUUGCUCCACUACAAGAUGGACCUGCGUUGUAUUAGCUAGUAGGUGAGGUAACGGCUCACCUAGGCGACGAUACAUAGCCGACCUGAGAGGGUGAUCGGCCACACUGGGACUGAGACACGGCCCAGACUCCUACGGGAGGCAGCAGUAGGGAAUCUUCGGCAAUGGGGGCAACCCUGACCGAGCAACGCCGCGUGAGUGAAGAAGGUUUUCGGAUCGUAAAGCUCUGUUGUAAGUCAAGAACGAGUGUGAGAGUGGAAAAUUCACACUGUGACGGUAGCUUACCAGAAAGGGACGGCUAACUACGUGCCAGCAGCCGCGGUAAUACGUAGGUCCCGAGCGUUGUCCGGAUUUAUUGGGCGUAAAGCGAGCGCAGCGGUUUGAUAAGUCUGAAGUUAAAGGCUGUGGCUCAACCAUAGUUCGCUUUGGAAACUGUCAAACUUGAGUGCAGAAGGGGAGAGUGGAAUUCCAUGUGUAGCGGUGAAAUGCGUAGAUAUAUGGAGGAACACCGGUGGCGAAAGCGGCUCUCUGGUCUGUAACUGACGCUGAGGCUCGAAAGCGUGGGGAGCGAACAGGAUUAGAUACCCUGGUAGUCCACGCCGUAAACGAUGAGUGCUAGGUGUUGGAUCCUUUCCGGGAUUCAGUGCCGCAGCUAACGCAUUAAGCACUCCGCCUGGGGAGUACGACCGCAAGGUUGAAACUCAAAGGAAUUGACGGGGGCCCGCACAAGCGGUGGAGCAUGUGGUUUAAUUCGAAGCAACGCGAAGAACCUUACCAGGUCUUGACAUCCCGAUGCUAUUUCUAGAGAUAGAAAGUUACUUCGGUACAUCGGUGACAGGUGGUGCAUGGUUGUCGUCAGCUCGUGUCGUGAGAUGUUGGGUUAAGUCCCGCAACGAGCGCAACCCCUAUUGUUAGUUGCCAUCAUUCAGUUGGGCACUCUAGCGAGACUGCCGGUAAUAAACCGGAGGAAGGUGGGGAUGACGUCAAAUCAUCAUGCCCCUUAUGACCUGGGCUACACACGUGCUACAAUGGUUGGUACAACGAGUUGCGAGUCGGUGACGGCAAGCUAAUCUCUUAAAGCCAAUCUCAGUUCGGAUUGUAGGCUGCAACUCGCCUACAUGAAGUCGGAAUCGCUAGUAAUCGCGGAUCAGCACGCCGCGGUGAAUACGUUCCCGGGCCU